CCUACGGGAGGCAGCAGUGAGGAAUAUUGGUCAAUGGCCGAGAGUCUGAACCAGCCACGUAGCGUGAAGGAUGACUUCCCUAUGGGUUGUAAACUUCUUUUAUCUGGGAAUAAAAUGUUCCACGUGUGGGAUUUUGUAUGUACCAUAUGAAUAAGGAUCGGCUAACUCCGUUCCAGCAGCCGCGGUAAUACGGAGGAUCCGAGCGUUAUCCGGAUUUAUUGGGUUUAAAGGGAGCGUAGGUGGAUUGUUAAGUCAGUGGUGAAAGUUUGCGGCUCAACCGUAAAAUAGCAGUUGAAACUGGCAGUCGUGAGUACAGUAGAGGUGUGCGGAAUUCGUGGUGUAGCGGUGAAAUGCUUAGAUAUCACGAAGAACUCCGAUUGCGAAGGCAGUUCACUGGACUGCAACUGACACUGAGGCUCGAAAGUGUGGGUAUCAAACAGGAUUAGAUACCCGUGUAGUC
rnacentral:rRNA from 1 species